CUGUGUGGAACAUAUACAUUCUCAUUGCUCUGUUAGUAUGGCCUGUGUGGAACAUAUACAUUCUCAUUGCUCUGUUAGUACUAUCUGUGUGGAACAUAUACAUUCUCAUUGCUCUGUUAGUACGGCCUGUGUGGAACAUAUACAUUCUCAUUGCUCUGUUAGUACGGCCUGCGUGUAACAAAUACAUUCUCAUUGCUCUGUUAGUACUAUCUGUGUGUAACAUAUACGUUCUCAUUGCUCUGUUAGUACUAUCUGUGUGGAACAUAUACAUUCUCAUUGCUCUGUUAGUACGGCCUGUGUGUAACAUAUACAUUCUCAUUACUCUGUUAGUACGGCCUGUGUGUAACAUAUACGUUCUCAUUACUCUGUUAGUACGGCCUGUGUGGAACAUAUACAUUCUCAUUGCUCUGUUAGUACGGCCUGUGUGGAACAUAUACAUUCUCAUUGCUCUGUUAGUACGGCCUGUGUGGAACAAAUACAUUCUCAUUGCUCUGUUAGUACAGCCUGUGUGGAACAUAUACAUUCUCAUUGCUCUGUUAGUACUAUCUGUGUGGAACAUAUACAUUCUCAUUACUCUGUUAGUAC